AUGGUUGUUGUAAUCAGGAUAUCAUCGAGGUCACCGGAGUCGUCUUCGCUUCUGCAUCCCCCAGAUGGUGGAGAGCAGCAUGAUCUGGUCUCGUGGAGCAAUACUAUUGGUGUGAUAGGUCGUGACCUCUUCAUCUAUUGCCUUCACCGCCUCUCCGGGUGGGAAUAUGGCGCCAUCGCAUCCCUCAACCAUGAUUUCAAUUCAGUGGUUCGCAACGGGCACAUCUACCGCCUGCGUCGCAUGAACGGGGUCACAGAGCACUGGAUCUACCUCUCAGCUUGCAGUAAUAAUCCUCCGGAGUGGGAGGCUUAUGACCCGUCCACUGGGCGCUGGAUCCAACUUCCCAAGAUGCCACCGGCUGAAAGCAUAUUCAUCUGGGAGUCGCUUGCUGUAGGAACAGAGCUGCUGGUGUUUGGGGACAGAGGAAGGGUUGCCUUGAGAUAUAACAUCCUUACCAAUUCAUGGACAUGGCUGGCUGAUGCGAUGAACACCCCACGGAUCGCGUUUGGGUCAGCGAGUGUUGGUGAAAAGGCGUAUGUUGCGGGAGGCGUUGAUUCUUCUAUUAAAAUAUUGAGCUCCGUAGAGAUGUAUGACUCGGAGACACAUACCUGGACACCCCUUCCCAGCUUGAAUAGGGCUAGGUUCAGAUGCUCUGGAGCGUUCAUGGAUGGCAAGUUCUAUGUGAUCGGUGGUCUUACCAGUAGCAACGAGGUAUUGACAUGCGGUGAGGAGUAUGACUUGAACCGGCGGUCAUGGAGGGUCAUCCACAACAUGUCUCAGGGGCUCAACCAGACAUNUUGGGGAGCUCUUCCGCUCAUUGCAGUUGUGAAGAAUGAGCUUUAUGGCGCUGAUUACAGUAAGAAUAAUGAUUUGAGGCAGUAUGAUAAGAUGGACAACAAGUGGAUAACUCUUGGAAAAUUGCCUGUACAGUCUAAGAAAGAGGGCAAGGACAUGGGUUUCCGAGCGUGUGAUGACCGGCUGAUUGUUAUUGGGCCUCCAAACAAUUCUACUGAUGAAAACGUGGUUGAGCUUCAUUCAUGGAACCCGGAUGGGCAACCACCUGUGUGGAGUUUGUUUGCAACACGGCCAUACAGGGAGGGCUGGAUUCAGUCAACAUGCGCCAUGAUGGGUUGCUGA
rnacentral:rRNA from 1 species